GAUGAACGCUGGCGGCGUGCCUAAUACAUGCAAGUCGAGCGAACAGACGAGGAGCUUGCUCCUCUGACGUUAGCGGCGGACGGGUGAGUAACACGUGGAUAACCUACCUAUAAGACUGGGAUAACUUCGGGAAACCGGAGCUAAUACCGGAUAAUAUAUUGAACCGCAUGGUUCAAUAGUGAAAGACGGUUUUGCUGUCACUUAUAGAUGGAUCCGCGCCGCAUUAGCUAGUUGGUAAGGUAACGGCUUACCAAGGCAACGAUGCGUAGCCGACCUGAGAGGGUGAUCGGCCACACUGGAACUGAGACACGGUCCAGACUCCGACGGGAGGCAGCAGUAGGGAAUCUUCCGCAAUGGGCGAAAGCCUGACGGAGCAACGCCGCGUGAGUGAUGAAGGUCUUCGGAUCGUAAAACUCUGUUAUUAGGGAAGAACAAAUGUGUAAGUAACUAUGCACGUCUUGACGGUACCGAAUCAGAAAGCCACGGCUAACUACGUG
rnacentral:rRNA from 1 species